GCGAGUUACGAUUUGAUGCAAGGUUAAGCAGUAAAUGUGGAGCCGUAGCGAAAGCGAGUCUGAAUAGGGCGUUUAGUAUUUGGUCGUAGACCCGAAACCAGGUGAUCUACCCUUGGUCAGGUUGAAGUUCAGGUAACACUGAAUGGAGGACCGAACCGACUUACGUUGAAAAGUGAGCGGAUGAACUGAGGGUAGCGGAGAAAUUCCAAUCGAACCUGGAGAUAGCUGGUUCUCUCCGAAAUAGCUUUAGGGCUAGCCUCAAGUGAUGAUUAUUGGAGGUAGAGCACUGUUUGGACGAGGGGCCCCUCUCGGGUUACCGAAUUCAGACAAACUCCGAAUGCCAAUUAAUUUAACUUGGGAGUCAGAACAUGGGUGAUAAGGUCCGUGUUCGAAAGGGAAACAGCCCAGACCACCAGCUAAGGUCCCAAAAUAUAUGUUAAGUGGAAAAGGAUGUGGCGUUGCCCAGACAACUAGGAUGUUGGCUUAGAAGCAGCCAUCAUUUAAAGAGUGCGUAAUAGCUCACUAGUCGAGUGACACUGCGCCGAAAAUGUACCGGGGCUAAACAUAUUACCGAAGCUGUGGAUUGUCCUUUGGACAAUGGUAGGAGAGCGUUCUAAGGGCGUUGAAGCAUGAUCGUAAGGACAUGUGGAGCGCUUAGAAGUGAGAAUGCCGGUGUGAGUAGCGAAAGACGGGUGAGAAUCCCGUCCACCGAUUGACUAAGGUUUCCAGAGGAAGGCUCGUCCGCUCUGGGUUAGUCGGGUCCUAAGCUGAGGCCGACAGGCGUAGGCGAUGGAUAACAGGUUGAUAUUCCUGUACCACCUAUAAUCGUUUUAAUCGAUGGGGGGACGCAGUAGGAUAGGCGAAGCGUGCGAUUGGAUUGCACGUCUAAGCAGUAAGGCUGAGUAUUAGGCAAAUCCGGUACUCGUUAAGGCUGAGCUGUGAUGGGGAGAAGACAUUGAGUCUUCGAGUCGUUGAUUUCACACUGCCGAGAAAAGCCUCUAGAUAGAAAAUAGGUGCCCGUACCGCAAACCGACACAGGUAGUCAAGAUGAGAAUUCUAAGGUGAGCGAGCGAACUCUCGUUAAGGAACUCGGCAAAAUGACCCCGUAACUUCGGGAGAAGGGGUGCUCUUUAGGGUUAACGCCCAGAAGAGCCGCAGUGAAUAGGCCCAAGCGACUGUUUAUCAAAAACACAGGUCUCUGCUAAACCGUAAGGUGAUGUAUAGGGGCUGACGCCUGCCCGGUGCUGGAAGGUUAAGAGGAGUGGUUAGCUUCUGCGAAGCUACGAAUCGAAGCCCCAGUAAACGGCGGCCGUAACUAUAACGGUCCUAAGGUAGCGAAAUUCCUUGUCGGGUAAGUUCCGACCCGCACGAAAGGCGUAACGAUUUGGGCACUGUCUCAACGAGAGACUCGGUGAAAUCAUAGUACCUGUGAAGAUGCAGGUUACCCGCGACAGGACGGAAAGACCCCGUGGAGCUUUACUGUAGCCUGAUAUUGAAAUUCGGCACAGCUUGUACAGGAUAGGUAGGAGCCUUUGAAACGUGAGCGCUAGCUUACGUGGAGGCGCUGGUGGGAUACUACCCUAGCUGUGUUGGCUUUCUAACCCGCACCACUUAUCGUGGUGGGAGACAGUGUCA
rnacentral:rRNA from 1 species